rnacentral:rRNA from 1 species
GGAAUUGUUCGCAAUGGGCGCAAGCCUGACGACGCAACGCCGCGUGGAGGAUGAAGAUCUUCGGGUCGUAAACUCCUGUCGAAUGGGACGAACGGACCAUGGGCUAACAUCCCGUGGUCGUGACGGUACCGUUAACGGAAACACCGGCUAACUCCGUGCCAGCAGCCGCGGUAAUACGGGGGGGGUAAGCGUUGUUCGGAAUUACUGGGCGUAAAGGGCUCGUAGGCGGCCAACUAAGUCAGACGUGAAAUCCCUCAGCUUAACUGGGGAACUGCGUCUGAUACUGGAUGGCUUGGAUCCGGGAGAGGGAUGCGGAAUUCCAGGUGUAGCGGUGAAAUGCGUAGAUAUCUGGAGGAACACCGGUGGCGAAGGCGGCAUCCUGGACCGGUAUUGACGCUGAGGAGCGAAAGCCAGGGGAGCAAAC